rfam:Gossypium arboreum cultivar AKA8401 contig_32756_1, whole genome shotgun sequence.
UGUUAAAAAGAUUAUCCAUUUGUAUUGCUAAAAUAUGACAUGGCUGAUAGAAUAAUCAAACAGUGACACGUGACAUGUCAUGUGUACUUCAUGCUAAAGUAUAGAAUCAGUUCUUAAUCCGUUUUUAAUAGUAGAUCUGGAUGAAAUUUUUAACA